GGCUUGGGCUCUGACCUGGAAGCCGAACUCUGCUGCAGGCACGGAGUCUCCAUGAAGAGCACACGGGGAGAGAAGAUGCUUCACAGGAGCCCUGGAUCUCCCUGGCACAUGGAGUACCUUGGAGGAGUGUAAGGGCAGCCAGGAAAGUUCUGAGAUUGCUACAGGACAAAAUCUUGUGCUUCUGAGCUCUGCAAUGAAGUUUUAAUCACCCCAAUAUACAUCUUUCCACGACAUAUAUUUUUCUGUCCACCAAAGACAUAAUGGCUGCUCCUUUUAUGGGAAACCAGGAUUUAAUCCAGCAAACCAAAUGACAGAAUCUGAGACCAUCCAAUGUCCUGCUCUGCCAAAAACAUCCUGUGGAUAUUUUAAGGCCCACCAAAGGCUCUCCCAAGACUGUUUUCCCCUAUCACACCCAUAAGCUCCCAGAUGGCAUCCUGUAUCCACCGACACAGAAAAUAAUUUCCCAGUAUUUUCUUUAAUGAAUGACCUAUUAUGAACAAGCAGGAAAAACCCAUAUUGUGCAAUUCUUCCACAGGAAAAGUGAUCAUUAAUAUAAAUGGAGAGAAGCCCCCAAAAUGGGAAUCUUUUUUGUUGUUUGAGCUGCAUAUGGUAUUUCAUUAAGGUGGCUUGUGUAGGUUUUUUUUUUAAUGUCUUGUUCAAUUGAUAUUGUCAUGGGUAAUUGUGCUGUUUAAAAGGUAAAGAACAGAAACACAAAAAGAUUAUUUCUAGAAUAAUGUUUACAGUGUGAAAUUCUCAGCUAGUCAGGCUCUUUCCCUUUCUCUGCUUGUUACUUUAGACCUAAUCCCCCAUUCUCUCAAUUCUUAGCAUAGAAAAUAUGUACUAAAGCUGGUACUGCUUCCAUUUUUUCACCACCUUAUCUCACAAACCUGAAAUAAUAUUUUUCCAUAUAAGUCUUAAUGUACUUGCACCUAACAGGAAUGAAGGGGCACAGGGAUGAAUUAAAAUGUGUUCAGUGGUUUAUAGCCAGUCUAAACCUCAAAGAACACCAGUUUGUGUUUAGCCAUGAUCCUGCAAAGCUUCCAGGGGCCACAGCUCAGCAAGGGCCAGGCUCUCCUGCAGCAAGUACAGCCCAAAUCAGAGCAGCAAAAUCCUGCUGGGAUCCACAGACAAACAGAGGGGGUUUAAGAACCAGGAAAACCACAAGUUAAGAGUACUAUUCCUAAUAUUGUGUAGUCUUGGCAGGAGGGAUACCCAUGAGGAUAAAUAUUCCAGAUUUCAGGAAUGGAUUCUCAGGCAGUGAUUUAGAGUAUUUAAAGGCCAAGGAAACAAGAGAGAAAUAAGUGGCUUAGAGUUAAGCAAGGGGGGAUUUUUGCCCCUGACCACUGGAACAGGACUCUGCUCCACUCCAGUUCACAUCCCUGAAGCCACAGCUGUGCCGCCAGAAACUUCCAUCAGAAGUGCUCAGCAUUGCCUCACAUGUUUAGGAUGAGCUCCCUCCACCAUCAAAACUUCAGAUGCCCAAAAAUCCACCUGGAAAUCUGGAUCAUUUCAGACUGCACUAGGACAUAACACAGAGGACAUGAAGUCACUGAGGAAGGAGUAAUUGCAAGGAGGGACUGAUGAGUAUAGAGGAAGGCCAGCAAAAGGGUACAAAACAACAAGGCCGAAAAACUGGUAAGAGAAAGAGAAAAUGGUUAAGUGACACCAUAAUGCUUUACUGGCUCUAAAGCAAGGGAAAAUUAUUAAAGCAUUCAUUUAUUCUAUUUCAGCCAAAGAAAAAACAUAGGGCAUAAAAAGAGAAGAAAAAAAAGUACAGAAUGUAGAACAUGUGAAGAAAAAAGGCAGCAAAGGAAGAGGAAAUGAAGAGAGAGGAGAAACAAGUGCUGGAAGUAGAGGAGUGGAUGGUGGGGGAGGAGGCAGCACAAAGAGAUCUGAUGAACAGGGCUUUUAGCCUUGUGAUCAGACAAGAUCCUCCCUCCUCUUGUGAAUCCUUCUGUGAAAAAAAGGAAAAAUUCCCAACUACAACUGCAACCUGAUGAAAUUAAAAUUAAUUAAAGCAGAAGUAGUUUUACAAUGUUCACACUGCACAGAUAAGUAUCCUUAGUCUUAUUUUAUAUGUCUGGUAUGGUUUCCAUCCCUUUCACAUCAUAGUGCUGGUUUCAGUUCUGUGAGAGGUGGAACAGCCCAUUUUAGGGCCAUUCUUUGUGGCACAACUAUUAAAUCACAAGCAUAGUAAUGGGAGAAUAUGUUCCCUGAGAUCUCUGCACCAACAAGAGGGAGAAAGGUUUGGGAAGUCCACUAAAAAUAGGAGUAGGCUUGUACAAGACAACUGAGCAUGGUCAGACAGCAGCCUACAGUGGGGUGGACCAGGGUGUGAAUUUUGCAGUUUGCAUUUUCUUGCAGCUGUAGUUGUCCUGCAUCCUCCGUGCAGCACUCCAGCCCUGUGCUUUGUGCACCAUUCCAGUCAGAUUGCUGGGGAGAGAGACAAAGGAUAAAAUCAAAACUGCUCUGGAAAUGCACUGUACAUGGCAGUGUUGGGCACAGUGGUGAGAGGUUUAAAAAAAAGAGUUUGACUCUAACCCAAGAAUCAAAAUUAAUGUCAGAGAAUUUAAUGCAACACAAGGUGUGAUGGAACAAAGACUGUUGGGGGGUCUCAUUUUGUUCAGUUAUGACAAGCAUUUUUCAGCACUUUAAAAGAAACAACAGCGUAAUGGUUUUCACUGAAUUGUAUGAAAAAACAGGAUAACUUUAACAAAUAUCACAAAACAUGUCACAAAUCAAUUGUAUUGAAAAUAUAUUAGGUUUCUUUAAAAGACAAGAUCAGAAAAGGAAGCAGCACAAGCAGGAGGAGAGACAGCACACAAAGAUUUACUUCUGAGUGCUACAAAAUAUUGAACUAAAAAUAACAUUAAAGAUGAAAUUUGCAAUGAAUCUCAAGCUGCUAAAUUCCCAAAGGCUGGGUCUGCCAAAGGCUCUGUUGGUUUCCUCUGUUCUUUUCUGUCUUUAUUUAAAUAUUUUAUACAGUUGUCUAUGUUCAUGUGUAGUGCGAACUGUCAUUUAUAUUUCAGUCCACUCUAAAAUGGAUCUUAGACUAUCUCAAGCUGUGCACUGCAGCCAGGAGUUGGGAGCUGAGAGAAAGAGCGAUGAACAUGUAUCAGAAGAGAAAUCAGCUGCUGCUUGGUGCCUUGUCCUUGUUCUCCCCUCUCGUUUGCUGAUGGCUGAUAACACCUUAUCUCCACCAGGGAAGCAACUGGGAAGUUUGCUCCUUCCUCACAAGACUGAGGGUAUAAUUAGAACCACGCACCUGCUCAGUCCUCCAGUGACUCAGUUAGUCUACAUCCAUGUCAAAAUCCAUGC